rnacentral:rRNA from 1 species
CCCUUAGAUGUCCUGGGCUGCACGCGCGCUACACUGAUGUGUCCAGUAAGCACCUAACCUCUUCCGAAAGGAACGGGUAACCUUUGCAAAGCACAUCGUGAUGGGGAUAGAUUAUUGCAAUUAUUAGUCUUGAACGAGGAAUUCCUAGUAAGCACAAGUCAUCAGCUUGUGUUGAUUACGUCCCUGCCCUUUGUACACACCGCCCGUCGCUACUACCGAUUGAAUGGCUUAGUGAGCCUUUGGGAUUGGCAGCUUGUACCGGCAACGGUAGCAGGCCGCUGAAAACUUAGGCAAACUUGGUCAUUUAGAGGAAGUAAAAGUCGUAACA